rnacentral:rRNA from 1 species
UACGUAGGUGGCGAGCGUUGUCCGGAUUUACUGGGCGUAAAGAGCGCGCAGGCGGUCGUGCAAGUCGCGUGUGAAAGCCCCCGGCUCAACUGGGGAGGGUCACGCGAUACUGCUCGACUCGAAGGCAGGAGAGGGAAGUGGAAUCCCCGGUGUAGUGGUGAAAUGCGUAGAUAUCGGGAGGAACACCAGUGGCGAAGGCGACUUCCUGGCCUGUUCUUGACGCUGAGGCGCGAAAGCUAGGGUAGCAAACGGG